UACGUAGGGGGCAAGCGUUGUCCGGAUUUAUUGGGCGUAAAGGGCGCGCAGGCGGCGCUUCAAGUCCGUUGUGAAAUUUCAGGGCUUAACCUGACGGGUCAACGGAACUGAAGGCUAGAGUGCAGCAGAGGAAAGCGGAAUUCCCGGUGUAGUGGUGAAAUGCGUAGAUAUCGGGAGGAACACCAGAGGCGAAAGCGGCUUCUGGGCUGUAACUGAUGCUG
rnacentral:rRNA from 1 species